AGAAAAUGUUAUUUUUUAAAGUAUUGAAACAUCCUUUAGCGCGCGGGAUGGUUACGUAUUCCGUCUUAUGGCCCUCAGCCAAUUUAGUGCAGCAAAGUUUGGAUGGACGAAGCUAUGAUGCUUUAGACUUUGUUCAGAGUUUGAAGUAUGGAUUAUACGGUACAUUUUACGUUGCCCCAACGAUCUAUGGAUGGGUAAAGAUAACCAGCAUCAUGUGGCCAAAAAUUAAUUUACGUACUGCCAUGAUCAAAGCUAUUAUCGAGCAAGCUACAUAUGGGCCAUUUGCUGGCAUUAGUUUUUUAUAUAUUAUGUCAUUGACCGAAGGAAAGACAGCUGUAGAAGCAGUAAAAGAAGUAAAAUUGAAAUUCCCCACUACAUAUACAGUAGGUCUUGCAUUUUGGCCUUUUAUUCAAACAAUCAAUUUUGCUUGUAUACCCGAACGGAAUCGUGUGCUAUUUGUUGCAACCUGCAGUUUCGUAUGGACAGUUUUUCUAGCUUCUAUUAAAAAUAACUGUAUUUCGAAUCAAAACUAACAUCUGACGAAAUAAAGAAAACUGCAACGUAGCAAACAGAAAACUUGUGAAAUAUUAAUUAAAUGUUAUAGUUAGGCUGAUCAUACGUACGUACCGUAUUCCGGGACAGUCCCAAUUUCAAAAUGGAAAUUUAAUGUCCAGUCGUAAAAAAAACCCGGGUCACAAUAUAUAUUUCAUUGUGUGAGUGCGAAAACUGUGUAGAAACCAAAACACGCUCGCGCCUCCGCGUAAUUCCGCGUAAUUCCAAUCGUCUCUCCCUGCUUCAACAUGCUCCUCGCCAGAAAGUCGCACACUUUUUCAUUCUCUUUGCUAGUAGGGUGGCGAGUACUGUUCUACGGAACGGAAGUGUUGCCACGGACCCGGGUUUUUUUUACGACUGGACAUUUAAUUUCCAUUUUGAAAUUGGGACUGUCCCGGAAUACGUUUUGUUUAUUUCGUCAGAUGUUAGUUUUGAUUCGAAAUACAGUUAUUUUUAAUAGAAGCUAGAAAAACUGUCCAUACGAAACUGCAGGUUGCAACAAAUAGCACACGAUUCCGUUCGGGUAUACAAGCAAAAUUGAUUGUUUGAAUAAAAGGCCAAAAUGCAAGACCUACUGUAUAUGUAGUGGGGAAUUUCAA